UUCAGGUUUCGUUGGUGAAGUUCCCGUUUUUCUUGCAAAGCCUCAAACUUACAUGAAUUUGAGAGACAGGACCCCUUGCUGCUUAUUUAAGCUAUCUCUCAAUCUUGUGCUUGUGGCUUCAGGCUGAAGAGUGUGAUCUAUCACUUUCGAGGGAACGGAGAAUUUCCUCGGCCAGUUUGAAUUUCCAAAUUUCAUGAGUUUGAAUGAUCUCUUCCCAGUACUUGAAAGCAUGUUGAAUAUCUUGCCAGGUAUCGGGACGCCUCUUGGUCAAAUGGAUCCAAAAGCAUUCUUGCUGCAAAAAUUUAAUGCAACAGCUCAAAGACGAGUGAUUAUAUGGUGGUGGUGUUUUUGUCUCAAAUAACAUUUCUUACGUUCAAGACACCCAUAUUCUUAGUUUGUUUCUCCGACUGUAUAACAACAAUCACCAGAUGGCUUAAAAUUUAUAAAAAGUAUAUUUUGAAUGAUUCUA